rnacentral:rRNA from 1 species
AUCAACUGGAGGACCGAACCGACUAAUGUUGAAAAAUUAGCGGAUGACUUGUGGCUAGGGGUGAAAGGCCAAUCAAACCUGGAGAUAGCUGGUUCUCCCCGAAAGCUAUUUAGGUAGCGCCUCGGACGAAUACUACUGGGGGUAGAGCACUGUUAAGGCUAGGGGGUCAUCCCGACUUACCAACCCUUUGCAAACUCCGAAUACCAGUAAGUACUAUCCGGGAGACACACGGCGGGUGCUAACGUCCGUCGUGGAGAGGGAAACAACCCAGACCGCCAGCUAAGGUCCCAAAGUAUAGCUAAGUGGGAAACGAUGUGGGAAGGCUCAGACAGCCAGGAUGUUGGCUUAGAAGCAGCCAUCAUUUAAAGAAAGCGUAAUAGCUCACUGGUCGAGUCGGCCUGCGCGGAAGAUGUAACGGGGCUAAGCUAUACACCGAAGCUGCGGCUACGUACCUUAGGGUAUGUGGGGUAGGGGAGCGUUCUGUAAGCCGUUGAAGGUGGUCUGUAAGGGCUGCUGGAGGUAUCAGAAGUGCGAAUGCUGACAUGAGUAACGAUAAAGGGAGUGAAAAACUCCCUCGCCGGAAGACCAAGGGUUCCUGUCCAACGUUAAUCGGGGCAGGGUAAGUCGACUCCUAAGGCGAGGCCGAAAGGCGUAGUCGAUGGGAAACGGGUUAAUAUUCCCGUACUUCUUACAAUUGCGAUGGGGGGACGGAGAAGGCUAGGUGGGCCUGGCGACGGUUGUCCAGGUUCAAGUAUGUAGGCGGGUGGUUUAGGUAAAUCCGGACCACUAUUAACGCUGAGAUACGAUGUCGAGCUACUACGGUAGUGAAGUCAUUGAUGCCAUGCUUCCAGGAAAAGCCUCUAAGCUUCAGAUUGUAAGGAAUCGUACCCCAAACCGACACAGGUGGUCGGGUAGAGAAUACCAAGGCGCUUGAGAGAACUCGGGUGAAGGAACUAGGCAAAAUGGUACCGUAACUUCGGGAGAAGGUACGCUCUUAUCAGUGAAGUCCCUUGCGGAUGGAGCAGACGAGAGUCGCAGAUACCAGGUGGCUGCAACUGUUUAUUAAAAACACAGCACUGUGCAAAAUCGUAAGAUGACGUAUACGGUGUGACGCCUGCCCGGUGCCGGAAGGUUAAUUGAUGGGGUUAGUCUUCGGACGAAGCUCUUGAUCGAAGCCCCGGUAAACGGCGGCCGUAACUAUAACGGUCCUAAGGUAGCGAAAUUCCUUGUCGGGUAAGUUCCGACCUGCACGAAUGGCGUAAUGAUGGCCACGCUGUCUCCACCCGAGACUCAGUGAAAUUGAAAUCGCUGUGAAGAUGCAGU